ACGGUUGUGCAACCCCGUGAACGUCCUUAAUGCCACGAAGUGCGCGUUUAUUCAAAAGAGGGCAAGAUGGCCAACUUUGUUAUGUGCAUUUUACCACAAUUAAAAAAAAAAAACUUGACUCUUUCGUUAUGCAAGACCACAGAAGGAGGAAGAGGCAAGCCACGCCGUUUUCCCCAGAAAACAGAAGUGAGGCGGCGGGAGCUCCCACAGUCCCCGCGUGAAACCGGCCCCACGACGGGGUGGGAGGAUCGAGGCGGGGAGAAAUCUCCAGAGAAUCCGGCCGGCCCAGAGCGCAGCUCCGCUCAGACCCGGCUCCCUGCUGUGCCGGAGACUCCCAGGAGCAGCCCCCUGGAGCCGGCUCGGCCUCCUCCGGGACUUCUCGGAGACCCUCGGGAAAACCGGCACCGGGAGGCUGGCGAGAGGGUGGCCCCCGCGGGCAGUGGCCGAGGUCACGUUUUAGAAAAGAGGGAAGGACAGGCGGGCGGGCAUCGGGCGCACACGGCGCGCACACAGGACGGACAUCUGAGUCACUCCACGGUGAACUCCCAUCAGAAAAGCAGCACCCAUCGGGAAAAUGUGCGGUAGCCAGAUUCACGGAGCCGCGAAGUAGAAUGGCGGGGGCAGGGCGGGGGCAGGGCGGGGGCUCAGGGCCGGGACUGGAGACCUGCUGUUCGCUGGGGACGGAGUUCCGAUGGGCGAAGAUGGAGCCGUUCUCGGGGUGGACAAUGGCGGCCGCACAACAGUGGGGACGCACCAAUGUGCGCCCGGAAACAGCCACAUGGCAGCCUUCACCUUGUGUCUGUUUUACCACGAUCUGGAAAUGAGUGAUUUUAAAGUCUUGCAUCAGAAGGAAGUGGCCAGGUUAACCCUGGGAUGCCGACUUCCCGGCACCCCGCCCCGCUGUGAAGGUGGCACUUAAACGAGGGCACGAGAGAACGCAGGCGCUGAGGACGAUGCUGAGUGUAUUUCAGGGAGCUCUUGAGAUGUACCCAAAGCCCUGCCUCUGCCCACACCUCCCAUCUAACCGACACGGGAGGCCCUGCUGCGUUUCACGGGCCGUGUCGGACCCACUGUGACACCUCGGAAAACAGGGAGCACGCACCGCUGCCCUCACACCCGCCCCACACUCGUGGUGUGUGUGUGGGGGGGGCCUGGGGGCCAUACUCGGACCCCAGGGUGGCGGUGAGAGCUCCCUGCAGCCUGACAGCCCCACCACCGUGACUGUGACCUGCGUGUCCCCGGGCACCAGGGCUGCAUUCCCAGUCCUGACCUCUCCGAGCCUCAGCCCACUGGCCGGCCGGGCUUCUCUGCCCGGAACCCCCAAAGGCGUCUCCGACCUCACGUGUCCAGACAGACCCCUGCCCCCCCGGAGUCUUCCUCCUGCACGGCCCCUGAGGCUUAUUCCACGUCUGCGCCUCUGCUCUGCCGCCUGUCGGGGACCGUCCUGACACGGGUUGGGGCUGCCCCCUGCCCCCAGCCGAGGGCACCACGCACGAGGGGCGCGCAGACCUUCCCGAGCGAGGCCGGUGUGACGUGCCUGCACAGCGAAAACGACUAUCGGUGAAACACUUAAUCAGCGGAAGAACUUGGUGAACACCUGGUCUCUGUCCCAGUUUCACUUAAUGCGGAAACAAGACCGCUCGUCUCCCGGGGUGAACACGCACGCAACAGUUACUCCUUAACCAGGCGAAUUCGAAUUCUCAGCGUUCCAUCAAGGGAGGAAAGCGGCAACUGUUCACUGGAGACACCGGCAGUCAGCCCUGUGGCUUCUCGUGGCUUCUCCGCAGCUGUACUGGCGACACGAGGCGAAUCCCAGGGAGCGGUUCUGCUUUGAGCAUCACGCUGCAGGAGACGCUUACAAACACAUACCAUCCAUUUUUGGAUAUUGGUGCGAUGUUAUUUCAACAUAUGACAAAGUGGUUAUUCUCUUAAUAAACCAACGGUGAA